UGGGGUAAUUCCACACACGGGGUAAUUCCACACACUAUAUACUGGAUACUCUCUAUUUUUAAUGAGAGUAAAGUUUAAUUAAAAGUUACUAUUCCCUGUUUCUAAGAGGUCAUUUUUUGUACUUUCUGAUACUGUUAGAGAAGCGUUCACCUACAUUCAGAGCAAGAAUUUUAAUUUUAUCUGCAUCUAUCUUCAAACAUCCUUAGAAUGGUCCACAAUUAUAAAGGAAUAACUUCGG